AACGCACAUUGCGCCCGCCAGUACUCUGGCGGGCAUGCCUGUUCGAGCGUCAUUUCAACCCUCAAGCCCUGCUUGGUGUUGGGGUCCUACGGCUGCCGUAGGCCCUGAAAGGAAGUGGCGGGCUCGCUACAACUCCGAGCGUAGUAGAAUCCUAUCUCGCUAGGGAGGUGCGGCGUGCUCCUGCCGUUAAAGACCCCAUCUUUAACCAAGGUUGACCUCGGAUCAGGUAGGAAUACCCGCUGAACUUAA
rnacentral:misc_RNA from 1 species